rnacentral:lncRNA from 1 species
UCUGCUAUUCAUUCAAGUCUUUCUCAGUCACCUCUGUUUGUCUUUCAUCUGAUUUACAGAUGUGCUAAAGUUCCCAAAAUAAAUAGGGAUAUUCAGUGAACCACAAUAUCUGGAAGAUAAAGCAAGUGCUUACCUGUUGGCAUUGCCAUCUGCUCUGUUUUGGAUUGAGAAAGGCCAGAGACAGGUGCACCAGGGCUGGUAGUACGACUCUGCUCUACAUUGACUUGAAGGAUCUACACUGUGGCCUUUGUCCAAGUUGGCUUCCACAACCCAGAUGGCAGGAUGAAGGAACAUAGAAGUUGGGGAAGGCCAUGUGACAGAUGCCUGUUAAGGUAGGAUUGAGGAAGCUGCCACAUAGCGCUCUGAGGCGUAGCACAUUGGCCAGGACUUAGGUUCACCCCCAAACCUUGCUACAAAGGAGACAGGGACAUGCUACCUUUCUUCAGGUGACCUCGUGCCUCGCUAAAAUUUUCUAUGAAAAAGAAGAGG